CCAACUGAGCCACCCAGGCCCCCUGGCUUGUUCUACGUUAAGAAAAAAUUUAAACUAAUAGCAUGUAACAAUUAGCUGGUUUCACUUUAAAAUCCAUAUUUUAAGCUUGGAGAAACAGAACACCUCAUUCCUGCAAAGGCAACAUCAGCUGGAGCCUUUGUCGAUUUUGCUCCUGCAGCAAGAUCCAACAUCCGAUCACAACUUUAUAAUGAGAACCUGUAUAUACAGAAUAUGCCAAUUUUUCAAUGUGUCUUCCUUUGCUUUAUUAAAUCUUCCCAAUAUUC